AGCCACAUAUUGUUUUAAAGGGAUUUCUUUAAUAGUACAGAAUAGAUAAGUAUGGUUGAGACUGGAGAGAUGAAAGCAACGGAGAGAAGAGAAAGCACUAGAGCAAAGGGAGUAGAGCAAAGGAAGCCAGAGGUUCCACCAACUGGUUACAUCGGCACCGAUGUAGCGGCGGUGUUUAGGUUUCAACUUACACAAUGUCAUCGUAGGUGAACACCUCAAGACAUAAGUCUCAAACAACCACUCGAUGAGGGCGACUAGGGUUUCAACGAAGGUUCCGACAACUUUGCAGCGGUGGCGUGGUGAUCGAGGACAAGACAGUGAAGAGUAACCCUGGUGGUGGUGCGAUGAUGGACCAGGCUGUGUUCCAAAAACAGGUCAGUAUAAUCAUCAUUCAUCACUAGUGAUAAGUUGUUGGCUUCCUGUUGUAAAUUUAUUAGUUAACUGUGUAUUUAUGUGGUUAUGAUCUAUGCCACUUAAAGUAUGUUAAUGGAUAGUAUUACAUUGCACGUCAUCAUCAUUAAUUAACUGGCGAACGCCAUGUAUGAAUAUGUUGCCAUCAUCAUCAUCAACAAUUGAUUGGUGAUCCGAUUCUAUGGUUUCUAAAGAGGGAAUGUGUAUGAAUCUGUUGUAAUGUCACUGUGACAACGUUGCAUUGGUUUGCUUAUGACAUAAUCUUGAUU